ACUCUAACUGUGGCUGUAUACCAGGCCAUAAGCUUUCGUUUGUUUACAAGACAUUUGACAGACAGACUCCAAAGGUAAAUGGAGUAGAGUUUGAUUGGGAGAAGUUAAAAAACAAAUUGAGUUUGACAUUUGAAGCCAUGGAUCGUCAAGGGAUGCACUACUACCUCAACAUAGACCGCUGUGCUUACGGGGGCGUUGUUCACGUGGCUUCUCGGUGGGAUAACAUUCCUCAAGUAAGAGGUCCAGAGAUCUUUGCGGUUAACUCUGAAUACGCUCAAGUGUAUUAUCACGACGACGGCAAGUGGCAUCCCUAUAUAAGUGCAAGAGACAUCCGUUAUACUACCAAACAUAAAUAGGUUAAUCAGCAGAUUAUUUGAAGGGGACAGAAUCCUCUUAAAGAAAGCAUUAAUGUAUGACAGCUUGGAGAACUUUUCUUCAACUGAAAUGUUGGAGGAAAUUUGUCGCGAGCGUGGGUUAAAGAAAAAAUCUCUAAUUUGCAAUGCAGAUUCGAGUCCUGACCCUUUGAAUACUGUGAGAUUCUCCACUGAUAAGCCACACA